AGUUUAUAUUCUACAAUAUAUUCGUAGGCGCUGAUUGACUUAAACUGCAUCUUAUCUGUAUUAAACAGGUUUUUUGUAGUGCGAUUAGAAGACAUUUAGAUCCUGCAAUUUACAGCCUACCUUGUGGCAUUCUUGUAAUUUGGGGGGAGAAAAAAAAGGAAGAAACUAUGCCGUCCUGCCUCGUGUCUAAGUGUCAUAACAAAUCUGGCCGUAAAGGACAAAAUCCAAACAUCAUUAUGCAUACUUUUCCGCAGGAUGUAGAGCGCGUCGUAUUGUGGCUGUCACAAACGGGACAAACUUUUGAAGACAUUCGUGCUGUGGCUCGUAAAAUAUCUGAAGGUUAUAAAUCAAACAAGUAUGUCAUUUGUUCCGAACACUUUGCUUUUGAUUGUUACCGAGUGGCUCACUAUGGAAAAGUAUUGAACCGCGACGCUGUUCCUACAAUCUUUCCAGCCGUGCUGGCCGGAGAGUCCGUUAUAGAGGAAAGUCUGAGAAAACCAACUAGUCACUCUAGAUUAAGAGUUCGUGAAGUAGACUUGCCUACAACGAGCAUUACUCCAUGUGAAUCCUUUCAAUUUGAAAUUGUCAAACCGGGUAUGUUCAGUGUGGCUACACAAACGGAAUAUAAUUUAACAAAUUGCAGUUUGAAUUUUGUCACAACGUCGCAAUCAAUAAUUAAAGUGGAAGUUUCAUAACAAACAGAAGGCAGCUCAGCAGACCCGAUAAUGUCUACACCUUUACAUCUGGGGGUAAGGAGAGUUCUGCUAAGUAGUCCUGAUGUUUCCUCACCCCCAAAAAAACAGAACAUUGGUUCGCUAACAUUUCCAGGCACUUCAGGCAUUUCAGAAGGAAUAUGUCCGUUAUCACCAAUUCUCCCAGACAACAUCCAAAGUUUUGCCUUGCCUGACGAGUCAGUAUCCACUGAGCUUGAAGAAACCGAAGAUAACCAAUCUCUCUAUGUCCUAGAAAAGAGCAGUUUGUAAGUGUCAGAUCAAUAUCUGUGUGCGUCUAUUUUGGAAGAAGAAACUCUGUCUUCCAAUCAAUGCAUUCAAUCCUUGUGCGUUGAAAACUUAGUUAAUGAAAAAUAAUUAUUGGUGUUUGUUAAAGGGUUUCUGCCAUCAGAA